AGAGUUUGAUCCUGGCUCAGGAUGAACGCUGGCGGCGUGCCUAAUACAUGCAAGUCGAACGCUGGAAAUCUAGCUUGCUAGAUUGAAGGAGUGGCGAACGGGUGAGUAAUACAUAAGCAACCUACCCACGAAGACUGGGAUAAUCUCUGGAAACGGGGACUAAUACCGGAUAGGUAAUCGGAAGGCAUCUUCUGAUUAUUAAAGGUUAAAAACACUGGUGGAUGGGCUUAUGGCGCAUUAGUUAGUUGGUGAGGUAACGGCCCACCAAGACGAUGAUGCGUAGCCGGCCUGAGAGGGUGAACGGCCACAUUGGGACUGAGACACGGCCCAGACUCCUACGGGAGGCAGCAGUAGGGAAUUUUCGGCAAUGGGGGAAACCCUGACCGAGCAACGCCGCGUGAGUGAUGACGGCCUUCGGGUUGUAAAGCUCUGUUGUAAGGGAAGAACGGUAGAUAGAGAAUAUCUAAGUGACGGUACCUUACCAGAAAGCCACGGCUAACUACGUGCCAGCAGCCGCGGUAAUACGUAGGUGGCGAGCGUUAUCCGGAAUUAUUGGGCGUAAAGGGUGCGUAGGCGGCCUGUUAAGUAAGUGGUUAAAUUGUUGGGCUCAACCCAAUCCAGCCACUUAAACUGGCAGGCUAGAGUAUUGGAGAGGCAAGUGGAAUUCCAUGUGUAGCGGUAAAAUGCGUAGAUAUAUGGAGGAACACCAGUGGCGAAGGCGGCUUGCUAGCCAAAGACUGACGCUCAUGCACGAAAGCGUGGGGAGCAAAUAGGAUUAGAUACCCUAGUAGUCCACGCCGUAAACGAUGAAUACUAAGUAUUGGGGAAACUCAGUGCUGCAGCUAACGCAAUAAGUAUUCCGCCUGUGGAGUAUGCACGCAAGUGUGAAACAUAAAGGAAUUGACGGGGGCCCGCACAAGCGGUGGAGUAUGUGGUUUAAUUCGACGCAACGCGAAGAACCUUACCAGGCCUUGACAUCCCUUGCAAAGCUGUAGAGAUACAGUAGAGGUUAUCAAGGAGACAGGUGGUGCAUGGUUGUCGUCAGCUCGUGUCGUGAGAUGUUGGGUUAAGUC
rnacentral:rRNA from 1 species